GGUGCAACUACUUGUUUCAUACCUUUUGGGUGUAAUUUUGUUUUCUUUAUCGAAUCUUGGCAUUGUACCGUGGAUCUUCUCCACUGUUGACCUCAUAGAGGACAUUGGCCAUUUUGCAUGGGCCAGAGCAGUCUACAAGUACCUCAUGAAAUUUAUUCCAAGGGCUGUGGAGAAGAUAAAGAAAAGGGAGAGAGGUGCGAAGGAGAGCACCCGUUAUUUUAAUGGAUAC
rnacentral:lncRNA from 1 species